AGCAAGAGUGUACAAGAAAAACACUUGAGUAGCCUACGGCCAGAUGUUGAGAAUAGAUGAAUCUGCAGUUGAGUGAAUCUUUGUCCGAAUUAUAUUAACAUGAUUGAAUCAUACCUGUUUCAUUGUUAAGCAAAAGUGGUUCAUAUGCAUCAAUCCCAUACGAUGUCUUGACAACGCAAUGAAAUUCCGAGAGCAGCAAAAAUGAAAAGAAAUGAGCAUUUCCAAAUGAUUGAAGCCGAGAGACACUCAAAACCAUAUAUGCGCCGAAUGCCGGGGAAAAAUGAAGGGAUAAAGUUGAUAUUUAUUUCACCACGGAGUCGUAUGACUUGAUUGUGUAAAGUGCUCAGGGCAACGGAGAAUGUGCAUCGUUGUAUGGGACAAGUGUCUUGCCACCAUCCAGUUAAUUAAGUGCGGUGCUGCAAUGCAAUCAACCUUUCAAUUCAAUGUGAAAAGUUCUAUUUUAAUGAAAAAGAAAAAAGCCGAAUGCUGUUUGGGGUUGUUUCUUUUCCAAUUACAUUAAUUUGCAUAGUAAGAGCCGUAGCCAAUGAGAGUAUUAAAUGUCAGACAUAAACUCGAUUCGGAAUCGUUGCAAAAUGGGAAAUGUGAAAUUAAUCGAAAUAGCGAAUCAAACGAGUGGUAAAACUCGUUCUCAGACUCGGAAAUUUAAACAAACGGCGAACAAAAGUUACCAAGCAAAUCACCCUUUUGUCUUUUCACUGGAACGAAAUCGAAUUAACUUGAAACCGGAAUAUUCAAUAAAAAGUGAGAUUAUUUUCCAAAAUCUCGAGUUCGAUUUUAUCAUACCAUUCGACUCGGCACUGAUAUGCUCCUUACUUUAUAGAAAUAUAACCAUUGCUAUGACAUUACAAGCGGUUAACGAAUAUUGAUAGCUCAUUAAAAUCCACCUGGAUCCAGUAAAACAGCCAAUAAAUCUCGGCCAAACUUCUUUGCCACCUACUAACAACUUUGACUUUUUCCAUUAAGGUCACACACAAAAGUCAUUUAUUCGGACCCAAUCGAGAUUUAUGGCGACAUUGUUUUGCAGUUUGCAAUUACAAGUGUUUUGUGGAAAAAAGGUCAGCCGAAGACGAGACGCUGAAAAAGUUUCCGUGACAACGAAUUUGUCACAAUGCAAAAGGGUUAAGUCUCUUGGGUGUCGUUAUAUGAAGAGAACAUUUAUUCUUUUUUUUACUGAGGCCGGUACUUCACAUUUGAACAAAUGCUAUCAGUGGAAUAAUGGAUGAAAUGCAGGAACAAGCAAUUACAAUAGUGUGUUUAUGUUCAAUAUAUUCAGUUGCGUUUAUGCCUCAACAUCAAAUUACAUUGCUAUUUGUGUGCGCAAAGUUUACACCAAAUUUAAAUUAAAUUAGAAAAAAUGCGAUUCCCGUUUGAUGCUUAUGAACUGACGGAAUGAUUAUGUUGUGCUAUCGAAGAAACACUCCUGAUUCGUAUUAGUUUUUUGUGGGGUAACCGGACUAGGCCAUAAAAUUUACAUAAAUCAAAAGAAACUCAACUCACUCUUAUUUGGGCAAGUUUUUCUCCCAUCGUUUUAGUUUCAAUAGCCUUUUUGUGUUUGCAUAAGUAUGAUAUAUGAUUCGCAUUCAUCAUGACUGAAAGUACUGCAGAGGAAUCACAAAAUCCUUUCAGCAUACAUCAUGUAGCACAAUUCCAAUUCUAAUUUGAAUUUCUAAUGUUCAUUUGACCUAUUUAAAUUCUCAUCAUUUAGUGAUCGUUUGCUAAUUUCAUUUUCCAACCCAUUUUUAUUUCGUCACGAUUGUUAUUCGUUAUUUAAAUUCUUGAUAUUUCUUUGCAACUUUGAAUCGCCCAUAAUAAAUGCUAUGAUUAUUCCAAUUAAUUCAAUUUAUUUCAUUAUUUCCUAAAUUUUCUUUCAUGGCUUUAGAUUCAAAUAAAGAAGCUGCUUUUGAUUAUUUUAAUUUCGAAGAGUAAUUGUUUGUUUAUUUUUAUUUUCCCUGAAUAAAAAGAAACAAAGUGUUUGUAUAAGAGUGCAUGAGUGUCAUCAGUGUUUUAUGAAUGAAAUGUCGUUAUUUGUUUGCAACGUAUUUUUCGAGCAAAAGUGUAUGAAUUAUGCGUGAUUUCAUCGUCAUUUAUGGCCAAAAAAUAUUCAAAAAACGAAUAUUGUGUCAUAUAUUCAGAUACUAUUACAUUGUGGAUUUGUUGAUUAUCUGACAGCCUAAGAACAAAAAAACAACUUCUGAACUCUUUGCCGAUAAAUGAAACGAAAAAAAACUUAGAAAAAACGUGUUUUCCGCUCAAUGCGCACUUGUGUCACUUUUGCUCGCAACUUCAUUUGUUUCUUUUUUGCUCUAAGUUUUUUUUCGUUUCAUUUAUCGGCAAAGAGUUCAGAAGUUGUUUUUUUGUACUAAGGCUGUCAGAUAAUCAACAUAUCCACAAUGUAAUAGUAUCUGAAUAUAUGACACAAUAUUCGUUUUUUGAAUAUAUUUUGGCCAUAAAUGACGACGAAAAUAUUUAACACUCAGGAAAAUGUAGAAAAAAUAAAAAUGUUUGAAUUUAUAAGCGGUUUCAUGAAGAAAAUAAUUUGAUUGAAAUUUGAAAAUUUUCAUAAUAUACAAAGGCACAUUUCUAGUUAUUCUUCUUCCACCUCGUAGUUGCUGUUUUUAGCAAUUUGGAACUUAGUAGGAACAUGUCUUUCUCUGUCAAUUAUGGUAAACACUGAAAUAUCUCCAAAUUUAUUAUUGUAUUAUUUCAAAUAAAAUCAUUUUAUUUCUACAUAAAAAAGGUCGCCAGUCGUUUUUAGAUGUGAGAAUCAAUCUGCAAAAGUAACAAGUUACUACAAUCCUAGGAAAGAUACACAGAAUGUACAACCAAAUUUCUUUAAAACAAAAUGAAGUAAAAAAUAGGGUAAAAAAUGCCAAAUUUUUGUUUUAUUUCAUACAAGAACUGGAAAGAAAAAUGCAAUAAAAGAAUUAGCAUCA